rnacentral:rRNA from 1 species
CCUACGGGUGGCAGCAGUGAGGAAUAUUGGUCAAUGGACGGAAGUCUGAACCAGCCAUGCCGCGUGCGGGAAGACGGCUCUACGUAUUGUAAACCUCUUUUGUCCAGGGGCAAACCUGAAUACGUGUCCUCGGCUGAGAGUACCGUACGAAUAAGGAUCGGCUAACUCCGUGCCAGCAGCCGCGGUAAUACGGAGGAUGCAAGCGUUAUCCGGAUUUAUUGGGUUUAAAGGGUGCGCAGGCGGAUUGAUAAGUUAGAGGUUAAAUGUCCGAGCUUAACUCGGGAACACCCUGUAAAAUGGUCGAGCGGGAGUGUGGAAGAAGUAGGCGGAAUGGAUGGUGUAGCGGGGAAAUGCUUAGAGAUCGUACAGAACACCGAUUGCGAAGGCAGCGUACCGG